rnacentral:rRNA from 1 species
GGAAUCUUCCACAAUGGGCGCAAGCCUGAUGGAGCAACGCCGCGUGAGUGAAGAAGGUCCUCGGAUCGUAAAACUCUAUUGUUAGAGAAGAACACGAGUGAGAGUAACUGUUCAUUCGAUGACGGUAUCUAACCAGCAAGUCACGGCUAACUACGUGCCAG